GGAAGAACGCAGCGAAAUGCGAUAAGUAAUGUGAAUUGCAGAAUUCAGUGAAUCAUCGAAUCUUUGAACGCACAUUGCGCCCGCCAGUAUUCUGGCGGGCAUGCCUGUUCGAGCGUCAUUACAACCCUCAGGCCCCCGGGCCUGGCGUUGGGGAUCGGCGGAAGCCCCCUGCGGGCACAACGCCGUCCCCCAAAUACAGUGGCGGUCCCGCCGCAGCUUCCAUUGCGUAGUAGCUAACACCUCGCAACUGGAGAGCGGCGCGGCCACGCCGUAAAACACCCAACUUCUGAAUGUUGACCUCGAAUCAGGUAGGAAUACCCGCUGAACUUAAGCAUAUCAAUAAGCGGAGGA
rnacentral:misc_RNA from 1 species